UGUGACCCGAUCGUUUUCGAAUUCUCCGAGCUCAAGUAUAAUCGAGUGACGAUACCUUAUAAUCCGAAUGUAGCGCCAAGUUAUAUAUUUACUUGUCGUUUCCCACGUUUUCGCUGAUAACGAAAGAAAGUAACUCUCUAUGUAUGUGUACAGUGUAUGCUGACCUCGCACAGUAUUUUCUGUAUUCGACGUUUAACCGAGACUAUUUUAACUCUUCACGCACCGCAGAAUAAAAACAAUUUUCCAUGCAUCGCCAACUACUGUUAAUCGCUUUUAACUUUAACGAUCGCCGUUUAUUUGCCGGUAACUGCUUGUUGCUUCAAUUUCGAUUACAUUCACUUUGCUUCUCGAGUCGAUGAAACGACGGAACACACGGCAAGGUACCAUCUUUCCGCUGUUUUAGUUUAACAACGUGUUAAAACGAUCAAAAUCGCGGUCAAUAAGGGAAAGAUUAAAAGCGUAGAUAUAUGUACACAUAUAUUCGAAGCCAAGUGGAGAUACAGGAGAGUUUGAAGGCUGGGUGGCGGCUGUAGGGCAUGCCGGUAUGGCGAACAACACUCUCUACCGAUUCAGCGUAUGCGGUAGAACCUAUUCUCGGAAGACUUCGUAUCAUCGACACAUAGGAGAAAAAUGCGGCAAGCAUCGAAGAGUAAAAAGUGUAAAAACUGCGAGUACAGCGUGGAAGCGAAAUAAACGUACUCGGUGUAUGGUAGAAAAUUCCGUGAUAAAAAUCCUUCAGGAAGCGAAUCGGAUAUCGAAAGAACCGUUCUACGAUUAAUUUUUUUUUUUUUCGUUAACGUCGAUAACCUUUGAACGUUGUUAAUGUUAUUAAUACACGCACAAAUGUUGCGUCAUUUACCGAAAUUAUUCAGUUAUUUUUCAGGUAGUAUCUAUACGUAACACGAGCUGGAAGAGCAAUAAAGAAGAGUACUCGAAGAGGGACCACAAUCGUGUCAACUACGACACUCCGUUUACCUGUUACAAGUGUGGGAAACGUUACACGUGGACGGACUCCUUGACCAGACAUCUUCGAGAAGGCUGCGGAAAGUUACCUAGGCACAAGUGUACCCUCUGCGGCAGAAAAUUCAAACGCAGAGAUUACUUGUUACGUCACGAAAAUAACGUUCACAAAGCAGAGUGAGAUGAUUAGAAUUGGGAAACCUUUCCGAAACCAUGAACGUCGAGAAUCUCAAGCUCCUGCGUCCCUUUGCAAACCGAUCGGAACAUUUCGGACGGUAAUGUUCUCCCUUUCGGUAAAAAAGAAAAGAAAACAUUUUUAUAUCGCCUUUUCCCGAUAGUUUUUUUAAACAUUCCGAACUUGACAAGAAGAGUACGAUAUUAGAAUGCGUUUCAUCGUCUGCGUUAGCGUAUCUCGAUACUGGAGAUACCGAUUUGCACGUUUAUAAGACUGACACCGUUGAUUUCAAAUCAUCGAUGCAUCUCACUGAUAAACACAAAAAGAACACUUUUCCAUGAUAUUACUUCGGUUGACUAUAAAUUCUGAAUUCUGAAUUCUAAAUUCCGAAUUCCGAAUUUCGGUUCUUAAAUUUGUGAAUCGCGGAAUUCAUUCGAGAUCGCGUUUAUAGAAUCUCUGACGUUGUAAAGAAUUGUAUAAGAAUGUGAUUCCAACUCGAAUCCUUCAAGUGUUUAUUAUUCAAAAUUAAUAACGAAUCUCCUAAUUUAUUAAGAUAGGACCGAGAGAGCGAAUCAUCGUGUUUAUACCUGUAUCUUUCUUAACGUCAGUUUACGUAUUUUCAUACGUUUACAGUGUAAAUAAAUAUUUCUAUUGCGUAUAGUGGUCCACGCGUUACAGAUUCAUCUGUUUAGAGAACACAAUACCGUCUAUCACCGUUUAAUAAGACUCGAACGAUUACUCUGAGAAUAUGCGAUUUAAAAUAAAUGAAACGUAUAAUAGGGUUUCGAUUGUUACAAUAGCGUGAAAACGUUGUAGUACGAGUAAUCGAUUGAAAAGACUACGCAGCGACUGCCAAAUGAAACAAGAACUACUUACACCGAGACAGAAAACCAAGCCUCAACUGGAAUUAACACGGACCGAACGUUUCAAGAAUGGAGCAACGCGGAAUCUGAUUGCUAAUGAUUACAUCUGAAUAAUAUUUGAGCUUUUAGCAAGCAACUAUUUUAACGCAAAACUGGUGAUGGACCGAUUAAUUGAAAACAGCUCGCAAUUUUAAUAAAGCGUUUUCAUCGAAA